CACUCUUGUGCUUAAGCCUACGCCAAGAAAGCGGUCUGGAUCGUUGUAAUUUGGAUCCUCACAAUUUGUACUAGUUGAAAUCAGAAAUCUUCAACCCGGUAACAGGAGGCUUCGAAAGCAGUAAAGAGAUUCCGGUGUAGUGAAUUUUUCUCAAUAUUUCUCAGACCUGAGAAGAAGAAGGGAAGAAAAUGAAGAUGUUGGGCGUAUUGAAGGGAGAGCCGCUGGUUACAAAGCUGGCGAAGGUAGCUCAAUACGGCGUGCUUCCCGGAGCUAUGAUUGCCGCUCUUGUCCACUCUCCUCCAGAUUACAUUUCACCCAAAAAAACCUCUGAUUCUAAAACCCCCAGUUCUUCUUCCCAUUAGAUUCAAGGGAUUUUGGCUGGUUAAACAUGUAUAUUUUCACUUCCUCGUGAUAUGUUGGAUUGAUAGGGUAUCUAAUAAUUGUUGCUGCCUUGCUGCUGUGUACCAGUUGUAAACAAUCAGGGUACCGUUUCCGUAUCUCUUAAAGAAAAGUGUUGCUUUUUUUAUUAUUUCAUGCCAACAUUUUUGAGUUUGAUAAUUAAUUCAACCGAGCUCCUAUGCGCACUUUUUUUCC